CAGCAUGAACUUAGCUUGCUAAGGCCGAUGGCGACCGGCGCACGGGUGAGUAACACGUAUCCAACCUGCCUCAUACUCGGGGAUAGCCUUUCGAAAGAAAGAUUAAUAUCCGAUAGCAUAUAUUUCCCGCAUGGGUUUUAUAUUAAAGAAAUUCGGUAUGAGAUAGGCAUGCGUUCCAUUAGGCAGUUGGCGGGGUAACGGCCCACCAAACCGACGAUCGGUAGCCGACCUGAGAGGGUGAUCGGCCACAUUGGGACUGAGACACGGCCCAAACUCC
rnacentral:rRNA from 1 species